rnacentral:lncRNA from 1 species
GAAUAGUAGUAUAAUAUGUGUAAAUAAAAGUGUGAUUCGAGAAAUGAAUCAUGAUAUGCUCUGUAUCCUGAUAGGAAGAAUCACAGCUCUUCAUGUGUCCAAGAGAUCAAGUAUAUUCUUCUUUCUUACCUUCAAGACAAUAAGAAGAAACCUUCCAAAGGCAAUGCAUCUGAUUGCUGCAAGCUGCUGCUGUGACUUCCCAUCACCAUGGAUUGUAACCUGGAACUGUGAACUGGCAGGGUAGACAUCUAUAUCCCCUGACUCUGCCAACUCCCUCCACCAGAAGGAAACACUCCAGAAGAAGGGACAGAGAGUAGGAACUGUGGAGAAAGGAGAGAGAAAAAUCUAAGAGUUGGAGAAAGGUGAGACAUGAUGUGGAACAUGGACUAAUAGGAAACAAUAUCAUUUUGCACCAUGCUGUGCAAGAAUGCUGUAGACUUAAUUCAAAGUAAAGAAUCUGAUUAUGCAAAUGAAAUAGCCCUAGGUCAUUUUGGUAAUAUUUAAAAGAAUACAAGAAGAUCUGUUACUUAAGGAUGUGUCAGUGGGAGAAGAAAAAGAAAAGAGCAUCACACUGUUACAGCAGAGACUU